ensembl:lncRNA
GACUCGCACACUGAUUUCCUUUCUCUGGUUACGCUCCUGUCUGCUUCCGUGUUCCCGCUUUCAAAAAUAUCCAGCGCCGUGGCAAAUCGCUCUCAGAAUAUAAAUUUGCUGCCCGCUCUAAAACUUUUCAGUUCCUCGCUGUUUUUAAAAGCCUCGAACGGAGCAGUCAGUCUUGCACCGCGUUCUUUGCGGCGAGAGAAGCCGUUUCAGAGAAGGGCAGCCCGUCUCCAUGGCGACGCUGCAAGAAAACAACAGAAGGGAGGCCAGCGGAAAAACCCCCGGUCGGUCAGUCAGUCGGUCGUCAAGCCAACCAACCUCGCCGAAGCACCGGUGUUUGUUCCGAGCCUCAGAGAGAGCCAUUCGCCCUAAAUACUAAGAAAUACGUAAUUUUUAACACCGAGUUCGGAGGGAAAGAGGAAGCCGAGAAACGUUUACUGGUUUUAUGACUUGAAGGUUCUCCAGCUGCGGCCCGUUGAGUGAGGCUGGCCAGAGACGGAUCAACAAGACAAGAGCAACCAGGCGUCUAUGAACACGUGCAUCGUGCCUGGAACACGCGGGAGCUCCCAGCGAUGAGAACCCAAAGAGGUGUCUCGACAGAUGGACAUUUCUCCUCCGGAAAAGUGAAUUUCCUGUACAGAAAGGACCCUUCUGCCCCGUCCUUGGAGCGUUUCCUGCAUCUGCUGGUUCUCAGUGGCCGUUAGCUGAAAAUAAUCCAUAGACAGAAGAGGCCUAUGCCAGGGUGGCUUGUUCCGGUCCCUUCAGUGGGACCAAAGCAUGUCGGACACAAUCCGAAGGUGUCGCCCUGUCUCAGGUGAUGGGGAGCAAAGGUCAGCCAAGGGGUCAGGGGGUCAGAGGUGAGCGUAUUAGGACAGAAGAGGGAGUGCUGGGGAUGCAGAAUGAAGAAGGGAGACAGAGACAAGGGAACGGGGAGGGGGAAGUGGUGGACACGUGCAGGGUUAUGAGUGGCAUGCUGCACCCUUCAUGGACAACCAUGCAGAUCCCGUGUUUCGGAACGCUCAGCUUGUCAGUAGGGGAUCCAAUGGGUUGAAACCCAUGGUGGCCAACCUUUAUUGAGUUCAGGAACCACCAGCGGAGCUUGUUCAAAGGCAGACCCUGAUGGCUGUCAUCUGGGAGGUGGGGCCGGGGAUUCGGCAUCUCCAGUGAGCAGCCAGGGGAUGCGGAUGCUGCUGGUCCAUGGGGACCACGCCUCGGGUAGCAAGGUUGGGAAGAUGGAGCCCAGGAGCCCAGGUGAUGAGGGUCUCAGCCUGGUCAGGAACAGGGAGGGGGGAGGGGGUGUGAAAAUGUUAACGAUGGCACAGUUACCUGCCUGGAGUAGUCAGCGAUGGCUUCUGCCAUCCUCAUUUUCCUGUUUUCGAGGGAACCACCACUGACUGGUCUUCCCUCCUGUUGGGUGACCUGCGCCUGCUGCGUUCGCGUCAAGGCAGAAUUGCAAACGGAAAGAAAAAAGGUCGUCCUGUCAUCACUUUAAAUAAACAAAAUCUGAAAUCCCCCCCCCCCCACCUCCUUGAAUUUGCAAGAAUUUGCUCUCAGGGAGCGUAACGGAUGUGUGCCAUUCUCCUUGCAUUAUAUCCGUUACAAAGACGGAUACAAAGUAUGAAGGAUGCACGAUUUUUAUGCAAUUACCGAGUGCAAGUGUCUUCCAGAUGCCGAAUGACUCAUCCUGGCUUGACUGCAUGUGUUUUUUUGAUCUAAUCUGUGGUUAGAAAACAAAGACAUAUAUGGGCGUGGUUUUCAUUUCCACUGAGUGGAAGUCCCCUUUGCUUAUAUGAAUUUUUAAAGUCGUCAACUGGUUGAAACAGAUUCGCCUGUCCCAGGAGACCCGAGGAGCCUCCCAUUUGAACUGAAAUAGUGAAAAAGAGAUUGUACGGCCCAGUCAUGAGUGGGAGUUUGGCUCCAUGAUGCUUUUACAAAUCCUGAUGACUUUAGGGCCAUCAUGAAGACGUUCAUUGAGUACUCCAGGCAAGGUCACUCUGCCAUCGGCUUCCAACUUCUUGAGGUUGUCGGGGGAAUUCACUUCCUUGCGGGUGCAGGACCGAGGGUGCAGCUUCUGGCUGGAACUAGCCCUCAGCUCCUGGGGGUCACCCGUUAUUCUGUGUCGUGUGGGUUCCUGCAACACGGCCUCUUGCCUCACGGGAGCUGCCUCGUCCAAGCCAGCGACCCAGAGGGAGAGGAAGACCGGAGGGCGUCUGCUAACCAAACUGAGUCCUACGUAGUGAGGUCACGGAGGUGACACCCCACCACCUUUGCCAUAAGCUGUCGGUGAGAAGCAAAUCUCAGCUCCUGCCCAUCUCCCGGGCGAGGGGAUCCUAUAAGAGUCUGAACGCUUCUGAUGCUUGUGCCCCGCACCAGAACGUUUGCGCGAUUCCUCGAGGGUCCAAGGUUCUUUGAACAAAUUCCUUGUCCUUUUGCACAACGAUUCAGAAGGCUAUUCCGUCGCCUGCCACUCGGAAACUUGAUUGACAGACGGCAGACCAACCGUGCAGCAGAAGGACCCAGAACGAGCGUGCCGUGCCUUCCUCGUUCCUGCCCCUGACUCUCGCGUGUCUCCCCACCCGCCCGCACCGAAGGCACCGUGAUGGGAAAGAGAAACAGGUGGGUGCAGAGACGUUAUCACUAACAGCACAGACUCACAAUUGCUUUCGGGGAAAGACGAUUAGAAGGCGUCUGAUCCUCCUCGGACCGGUCUCCCGCGGCUGCCACCACAACGUCCCAUAGACUGCGGGUCUUAAGGCAACAGCAAUGGAUUUGCUCAAGCUUCUAGAGACUGGAAGUCUGAAACCAGGGGGUCAGCAGGGCUGAUUCCUUCUGGAGAGUCUUGGGGAGCGUCCGUUCCAGGCCGCAGCCCUGACUUUAUUCACGUGACCUCAGACGCCACCCACGUCAUCUUGGAAAACCUCCUGCCCAUCGUCUUCCACCCCCGUCACCUUCUCUAGCCAUCGUCCUCCGUAUUCGUCAAGGUUCUCCGGAGAAUCAGAGCCCAUAGGAUACCUAGAGAUAGGUGCAAGAGGAGGUGUAUUCUAGGGAUUGCCUCAUGGGGUGAUGGAGGCUGCGAAGUGCCACCCAUCGAGCUGGAGACCCAGGAGAGCGGGUGGCGGACUCGGUCCAAGACCAAAGAUGGGAGAACCGGCAGCUGCGAAGGCCGAGGGCAGAAGACGGACGUCUCAGCUCAAACAGAGAGCGACUUCCUCUUUCCUCCACCUUUCUUUUUCUACUCUAGCGCUCAACGGGUGGCAUGGGGCCCAUCCACGCUGGGGAGGGCCAGCGGCUUAACUCAGCCCAUGGAUUCACCAUCAGGGGACCACUAUGUCCCGUCCCACCCCCCGUCCCCCCCAGAUUCACAGGCAGCCCAGGCCCAGCCAAGCCGUCAUCCGGGUCUCUCGUCACUGAGGUUUGGCCUCAUUCUUUUGGCCUCCGGCUCUCUCGAAAAGUCAGUCAACAACCUUCCAUUCCCAAAGUGGCCUCGGAUAUAAAAUUAAAGGCACAUGAACACGCUCGCCGGCCGGCCUUUGUUUUUUUUUUUCAGUUCGUUCCACUAACAAUGAAAUCUUUCUUCCUCGUCAUCAUUUCCACUCAGUGGCGUUGAAACAGGAAAGAAUUACGGUUCGAGCUGCAAAAAAAGUUUCCUUUGACUUUUGGCUACAAUAAUGUUCUCCCUAGGCUUUUUUUUUUCUUUUCGUUUUUUU